AGGACGAACGCUGGCGGCGCGCUUAACACAUGCAAGUCGAGCGAGAACCAAGACCUUCGGGUCUUGGGGACAGCGGCGAACGGGUGAGUAACACGUGAGUAAUCCACCCUUGGUACCGGGAUAGCUCGGGGAAACCCGAAUUAAUACCGGAUAGCCCAUUAGCCUUUCGAGGCGAAUGGAAAAGGUAGCUUCGGCCUCCGACCAAGGACGAGCUCGCGGCGGAUUAGCUUGUUGGCGGGGUAAUGGCCCACCAAGGCGACGAUCCGUAGCUGGUCUGAGAGGACGAUCAGCCACACUGGGACUGAGACACGGCCCAGACUCCUACGGGAGGCAGCAGUGGGGAAUCUUGCGCAAUGGGCGAAAGCCUGACGCAGCGACGCCGCGUGAGGGAAGAAGGCCUUCGGGUUGUAAACCUCUUUCAGAAGGGACGAAGCCACUCGGGUUAAUAGCCCAGAGGGUGACGGUACCUUCAGAGAAGCCCGGCUAACUACGCGCCAGCAGCCGCGGU
rnacentral:rRNA from 1 species